rfam:Streptococcus pneumoniae R6, complete genome.
CAGAUAGAACAUUGCAUUCAGAAUAAUGAAAAACGCAUCAAAAAUGGUGCGUUCUGU